GUCAGCUCCAGCAGGGCACUGAGAAUUGAGUGCAGAAGCUUUGGCUCCAGAUACAAGCACUCCUGACACUUGAGGAGAAGGCGGCUCUGGCUUCAGUCUGCAGCAAUAACUCAUUUCCCUGUUUAUGCAGCCCCUAAGACAGUGGUGCAGUGGGACCUUGCAGCCAACGCAGCGUCAGCACAGGACUCCCCAGGGCACGGAAACAGCUGUGGCAAGGGAGGGCAGAGAGCACCUCCAUCCCUGCGCUGUGCCAUGGGCUGUGCUGCAGGCAGCAACGCGAGCAGAGUGCUCCAAAUCCAGCUGUAUGAGUAAGAAAAGGAGAAGAAGUAACCAAAGUGGCAGGGGGCAGCCACUUUGACAGCAGGCCGGGGCAUAAGCCAGCCUAAUAAAGUGAGAUUAU
rnacentral:lncRNA from 1 species